CCGAUCCCCGACCGGCUGCCGUCGUCGGGUUCCUCGGCCGUCCUUCUCGCGUUGGGCAAGUAGGGUGAGUCAUUUUCCCUUGCCUCUGCCUGCGCGGGGUUUACGGGGGCGGUCGUUUCCCGGCCGGCGAAGGUCUUUUUAUUCUGUGGAAACCUGCGUAACGGCAGGGGGGCGCAGGCCCGGGACUUGCCAUAGACGCCGCACGUUCUCCUAGGAUUUCGUUCCCCUCUCGGGGGGUUUCGUGCCGAAAGGGAGCGAGCGAUCAGUCGGCAAGUACCAUGAGCAGGCAUGUUGGGACCCGAAAGAUGGUGAACUAUGCCUGGCCAGGAUGAAGCCAGAGGAAACUCUGGUGGAGGUCCGUAGCGAUUCUGACGUGCAAAUCGAUCGUCAGAGCUGGGUAUAGGGGCGAAAGACUAAUCGAACCAUCUAGUAGCUGGUUCCCUCCGAAGUUUCCCUCAGGAUAGCUGGAACUCGCCACCACGUGAAUUUCAUCCGGUAAAGCGAAUGAUUAGAGGUCUUGGGGACGAAACGUCCUCAACCUAUUCUCAAACUUUAAAUGGGUGAGAUGCCGAGCUUGCUUAAAAGAUGAAGCUUCGGCGACGAAUCGGAGUUCCUAGUGGGGCACUUUU
rnacentral:rRNA from 1 species